GAACAAUAAUACGCGAACGCUCUUGGCCGAUCAGCUGAUAAGAUAAACAAACAACAUCCCUGCCGCCAGUGCAUUAAAUUUGCUUCGUGCGUCAGCUGAUUGAGACCGAGAUAAAUCCCCAUGUCCAGUAAUGGAAUAAAUCUGGCCAGUGGCCUGGUCAUAAGGUUCUUAAUCACUUUGGAAAAGUGGGAUUCCUGGGUAUUACAAAGCCCAUAGAUUUGGCAGCGAUGAACUGAGAAGAGAAUUCCUCGCACCUUGUAUCGCUGGUGAUGUUGUCUCGUGUCUUGGAGUAAGUGAACAAGGGCAGGUUCUGAUGCUGCAAAUAUCCAGACAACAGCUUGUCGCCUUGAGGAUGACCGAAUCGUAAAUGGAAAUUAUGGAUUACUAAUUCAUGGCAGGCUGACUUUAUCUGUCUUCUGGUCAACAUGUCAGGUGGACCGUCACAUCAUAACAAGUUGCUAGUGAUACAAUUUACCUUCUGCAGGGGUCAAACUUGCCAGAAAGAUAGACAAGUUGGGAAUGUGAUGCUCUGACACAGGCCACAUAUUUCUUGAUGAUAUCCAAGUCCCUGCCAAGAAUAUCAUUGGAGAAGAAGGAAUGGGGUUUAUUUAUCAAAUGAUGCAGAUCUCUACACAGCAGGACGGGAUGUAACAAAGCUCGCAUCCAUGUGCAAGCGGAAGUCAGGUCGUCUGGCCCUUGAAGUAAUUGAUUCUUGCCAGCAAGUUUGGGGUGGAAUGAGCUUCAUGAAUGAGGUACUGGUGAGCCAGCUAUAUAGAGACUUGCAUUUGUAUUGGAGGGGAUUAUGUUGACAGUUAUCAGUAAAUAUAUGGGAAUUCUUCCACAGCAGUCUAAAACAAACUGAACAAAGAGUGUAAGGCUGAAUGUAAAUAUCUAUAUUCUGUCAAUAGAUUUGUAUACAUAUUUUUAUGAACAUUAAAAAUUACAAGUUUUUC